rnacentral:rRNA from 1 species
AAUAAAAGUAAAAAAAAUUAUUAAAGUAUUAAAUGUUAUAUCAUUAAAUUUAUAAGAUUUGGCGGUAUUUCAUUCAGAUUAGGGGAACUUGUUUAGUAAUUGAUAAACCACGAUAAGAUUUACUUAAUUAAAUUCUUGUGUAUUGCUGUUUUUAGAGUUGUUUAUAAGAACAGUCUUAAAAUUUAUAAUUACUUUAUUUAGAGUUGUAAAUAAAAUAAUUCAAGUCAAAAUACAGUAUAGUUAAGAAUAAAAAUGAGUUACAAUAAAAUAUAUUUAGAUGAAUAUUUAAAUUUAAUAUUUUAAAUUGAAGGUGGACUUAAAAGUAAAAUUAAUAAAUUAAUUAAUUUGAAAAUUUUGUUUUGAAAUAUGU